UGGGAUCUUCAUAAUUGUUUACCACUACUUCUGCUUCAUUGCUUAACUGCUUCUGGCUUCUUGGUUAUUUUGAUCGGCCUGCUUUGGGAUCUUUAUGUUAGUUCACAUCUACUCUGCUUCUCAUCUAGAUGCUCUUAUGUUUGAAAACUUCAUCGGCUCUGAUGAUUGCUGGUCUUGCUUUUCUUGAACUUAAAAUGGCCGAGGAGUUGCACUUGCUACUCUGGCAGGUAUUUAAUACCUUUCAGGCAGGCUUCGAAGAAACUUGUCUUACGGUGUAGAAUAGUUUAGAGUAUGUAGAACGUCUCUGCUUUGUUUGAGGUGGGCACUUGGAUAAACACUUAUCGCCAUCUGCAAUAGUCAUUCCUUUGGUUUCAUCACGUUUGGUACAUGGACUAAUCUUUAAACGAGAGAUUUUUCUGCUCAUUGGUUUCAAUUUCAUCAUGUUUGAUUCAAGGAUCAUUCUGUCUUUAUUGAAGGCUUUUU